GCCAGUAUGGUACAGUGGUUUGAGCACUGGACUAUAACUCUGGACCCCAGGGUUCGAAUCCUGGCUUAGCCA